rnacentral:rRNA from 1 species
GAUGAACGCUGACAGAAUGCUUAACACAUGCAAGUCUUUGGCGAAGCUGUGCUUGCACAGCCUAGCCAAGGCGGACGGGUGAGUAACGCGUAAGGAACUUGCCCUGCAGUCAGGGAUAACAGACGGAAACGACUGAUAAGACCUGGUAAAGUCAGGCGAACUCAUGUCCAGCCUGAUGAAAAGUGAUGCUGCAGGAGAGCCUUGCGUCCUAUUAGCUUGUUGGUGGGGUAACGGCCCACCAUGGCGAUGAUAGGUAGCCGGCCUGAGAGGGUGGACGGCCACAAGGGGACUGAGAUACGGCCCUUACUCCUACGGGAGGCAGCAGUGGGGAAUAUUGGACAAUGGGGGCAACCCUGAUCCAGCAAUUCUGUGUGCACGAUGAAGGUUUUCGGAUUGUAAAGUGCUUUCAGCAGGGAAGAAAAAAAUGACGGUACCUGCAGAAGAAGCGACGGCUAAAUACGUG